UCAAUCGGGAAGGCGCGGCUACAAUGCAAGUCGAGCGGUAACAUUUAGUGCUUGCUACUUUGCUGACGAGCGGCGGAGGGGUGAGUAAUGCUUGGGAUGUGCCUUGAGGGGGGGGACCACUGGUGGAAACCUGUGCUAAUCCCGCAUAGUGUCUACGGACCAGGGGGGGCUUCGGCUCUCGCCUUUAUAUUGCCCCAUGUGGGAUUAUCUAUUUGGUGGGGUUGUGUCUCACCAGGGCCACUAUCCCUAUGGGGUUUGAGAAGAUGAACACCCACACUGAGACAGACACACGCCCCACACUCCUACGGGAGGCAACAGUGGGGAAUUUUGCACUGUGGGCGCAAGCCUGAUGCCCCUAUGCCGCGUGUGUGAAAAGGGUCUUCGGUUUGUAAAGCACUUUCUCUCGAGAAGAAAGGUUAAUAUUUAACACCUGCUAUCUGUGACUUUACUGACAAAAAAAGCCCCGUCUAACUCCGUGCCAGCACCCGCGAAAAUACAGAGGGUGCGAGCGUUAAUCAAAAUUACUGGGCGUAACGCAUACGCAGGCGGUUUGUUAAGAGAUAUGUGAAACCCCCGGGCUCACCCUGGGAUCUGCAUUUCAAACUGGCAAACUAGAGUGUGAUAGAGGGUGGUAGAAUCUCGUGUGUAGCGGAGAUAUGCAUAGAGAUCUGAAGGAAUACCGAUGGCAAACGCACCCACGUGGGUCAACUCUGACUCUCAUGUACAAAAGCGUGGAGAGCAAACGAGAUUAUAUACUCCUGGUACACA
rnacentral:rRNA from 1 species